UAGUUUUAUUUGAAUGGUACCUUUGGCCUGACAGUCACCUAGUCACUCAACAAAUAUUUAUUACAUUUCAUGUCCUGGUCUGGAGCUAAGCUGGGAAUAGACAAUACAAUGACUAUGUCUCUGUGUUUGGCAAGGGAAAAAGAAGAAGGCAAAAGAAAAACUGCUCGGGGAGAAAGAACAACUGAGAUAUGUCUGGCAAGUUGAUUCAAGAAACAGUUGCCCGGCCUCCAAACCUGGAUAAGUCUUCACCAAACUAGGUACAAAGACAAGUUCUUGCUAAAGGAGGAUACAAUUGUCCAUUGUGCUGGAGAGUGAUCUCAUGGUGCUACGUGUGGCCCUGUUCUGGUGAAGAGUGGCAGACGUCACCCUUUCUGAGGUAGGCUCCUGCCAGCUCCAUGGCUGAUCAUCAGCCCUUGAUACCCUGAAGUCUGUAGCCUUGAGAUUCUGUGAAGUGAAAGGCUGAUCAGAUGGUCCCCAGUCCCUCCACUGCAACCAGAUCAUUUUGCCCCGAUAGUGUUUUGAAAUUUCUGGCUGCCCCAUAUGAGUUUGUUUUGUCUUUCUGCCUAGAUAGCAAACCCAAGGCCAGGGUUCUGAUGACCAAAUAACAGAGGCAAAGGCAGGCUUUGGGGGGUUGCAUCAUCUGAUUCUCAGGAAAAUGUUACCAAUUCCAGGCAUCUAUCCCCAGCCCCCCUCAACUUAUCAACAACCUCGACACACACACAGGGUGUAACCUCGUUACUGGGGAGCAAA
ensembl:processed_transcript 4930581F22Rik RIKEN cDNA 4930581F22 gene